GCCGGGUGUGGUGCUGCCCGCCUGUGGUCCCAGCUACUCUGGAGGCUAGGGAGGGAGGAUUAUUUGAGUCCAGGAGUUUAGGGUCAACCUGGGCAAUACAGCCAGACCAUGCCUCU
rnacentral:sRNA from 1 species